rnacentral:rRNA from 1 species
UGCAGAGGCCACGAGCGUUAGGCGGAAUCACUGGGCUUAAAGCGUGUGUAGGUGGAUGACUAAGUACCUUGUGAAAUCCCACGGCUCAACCGUGGAACUGCUUGGUAUACUGGUUGUCUUGAGGCACUCAGGGGCGAGCGGAACAGAUGGUGGAGCGGUGAAAUGCGUAGAUAUCAUCUGGAACGCCAAUGGUGAAGACAGCUCGCUGGGGGUGUACUGACACUGAGACACGAAAGCCAGGGGAGCAAACGGG